GACUACACAUUAGCUUGUAGAUAGUUAUCUUAGCUGUAUCGAUGGAUUCCAGGGAGAGUGAAAUCGCUAGAUGUUUAAAUAGUAAUGAUGUUGAGCUGGUUCAGUCGAUCAGUGGCGUCAAUUUAUUGGCUACUACUUUUUUACCUGAGCCGGAGCGCCGCCAUCAUCAGCGACUCAGACGAGCUCACCAAUGUCGAGACCGAGCCCCGCCUUGGGAGGCAACCGAUGAAGACCACCCGUCAAUUACUGUGCUUCAGUCAGUCGAGGUGAAAUAUGUCAGUGAUGCUGUGCAACAAAUUGAAAAUGCUUGCAUGUUCAGGUGCACUUGCAAGUCCAACGAAGGGUAGCCCUGCUAUUUGCUUUUUACCCCCAAGGAGAUGAGACGUGACAAGAUGAAUUAACUCACCAAUGGUACUAUGAAAAACAUCUAGUGCUCAUUGGACAGAUCACUGGUUCCAUGAACCUCUCCAAUGAAACUGUCAUCUCAAAGGAGCAAACAAGCAGAAAGGAGACAUCAGAUGAUGUCAUAUUUCCUUGAUCGCCAGCAGAUCUGAAGACUCAUAAGUUCUUUAGAGUAAUACAACUUGAUGUUUUCUGUUAUUUUGGGGCUGCAACAGUAUUACAAGUGCUUCCCAGACUGUUCGCGUUGCCCUUCUGCUAUAGGACAACAUCCAUGACGUAUUUAUUUAUUCCAAACAUCUGUCAGCACAAAGAUUCAAGUCACUACCAGCCAUCAGGAUUUAAAACUGCUUUUAGAGGGCAUAACCACCUCAAACUUGCUUUCAAAAUAAACAAUUUGCAACAGAAACUGAACAUCUGUUCAGGAAGUCAUAUCUAGGCUACUUCCCCAUUUCACAUUACAAAACAUUUCCCAAUUAUUGAACUAUGCAAUGGAAAUGCACACACACACACCAUUCAUGGAGAUACCACUAGGUGCAGGUGAGACUGGUCUGUCUGUCUUGAUCCUAUUUAAGUGUUUAAAUCAGGAUGUGUUUCCAAAAUAUAAAUUUUUUCACACACUUCACAUUUUUUUACUUUUGCAUUCCAAUAUUUCCCAUGACUGCAGAUUUGAAAGAAUAGUCUCAGAUCUCACCUUUGCUCAGUGGAAAGUUCUGCUUUCCUAAAGAGAAUAGGAAGUCCCAUUGACUGGUCACUCUUCACGGAGACACCACUAGGUGCAGGUGAGACUGGUCUGUCUGUCUUGAUCCUGUUUAGAGCAGGAUAUUAAUAUACAACAUGGAGUGCGCGCACUUAUAAAAAUGUUUAACUGUUUUUUCUAUGGUUACUUUAUAAUUGUCAUCAGUCUUAAUUCACAUAACAGCUAGGAAUAGAUUAGAUUCGUGAUAUAGUAAAUGACUGUUGAGUGAGCCAAGUUAUAACGUUGCUGCAGGCCGGGUUCAGGAUCAGGGGUCAGCAAAUAGGGCUGGCAGGGGUACCCUCUGUCACUGAGCAGGUAACCAUAGAACUCUCCUAUGAGAAUACGAGGAUACAGUUUACAUUUUCAGUUGCAAUAGGAGGAAACAAAAUAUUGAUUAAAGUAGGAUAUAGCUAUAUAUAUAUAUAUAUAUAUAAACUCACAACGGCAAAUCUAGCACUCAGUGUACACUCACAAAAAAUCUUGCACAGACAUAAUCUCCUUCAUUUACUGAAGGAUCUGUGAUAGGAAUAUGAGUGGCAUCUAUGCAGCCAAUCACACCCGGAAACCCUAAAAUAUAUCAAACUAACGGAGUAGUGCUUCAAGUCUCAAAGCUUCAUACGAAAUAAAUAAAUAAUUGCUUAGACUGA